rnacentral:SRP_RNA from 1 species
GGUGACUCCUCGCGUGGCAUCACCUUGGCUAAACCCCCCAGGACCGAAAGGUAGCAAGGGUAACUGAGCUCUGACGGGUGCGCGAGGGGUCACCUUU